rnacentral:rRNA from 1 species
CACGUAGGGGGCAAGCGUUGUCCGGAUUUAUUGGGCGUAAAGAGCUCGUAGGCGGCUUAGUAAGUCGGGUGUGAAACCUCCAGGCUCAACCUGGAGACGCCACCCGAUACUGCUGUGGCUAGAGUCCGGUAGGGGAGCGUGGAAUUCCUGGUGUAGCGGUGGAAUGCGCAGAUAUCAGGAGGAACACCAAUAGCGAAGGCAGCUCGCUGGGACGGUACUGACGCUAAGGCGCGAAAGCGUGGGGAGCGAACAGG